rnacentral:rRNA from 1 species
GUGGGGAAUUUUGGACAAUGGGCGCAAGCCUGAUCCAGCAAUGCCGCGUGCAGGAAGAAGGCCUUCGGGUUGUAAACUGCUUUUGUACGGAACGAAACGGUCCGGGUUAAUACCCUGGGCUAAUGACGGUACCGUAAGAAUAAGCACCGGCUAACUACGUGCCAGCAGCCGCGGUAAUACGUAGGGUGCAAGCGUUAAUCGGAAUUACUGGGCGUAAAGCGUGCGCAGGCGGUUUUGUAAGACAGAGGUGAAAUCCCCGGGCUCAACCUAGGAACUGCCUUUGUGACGGCAAGGCUAGAGUACGGCAGAGGGGGAUGGAAUUCCGCGUGUAGCAGUGAAAUGCGUAGAUAUGCGGAGGAACACCGAUGGCGAAGGCAAUCCCCUGGGCCUGUACUGACGCUCAUGCACGAAAGCGUGGGGAGCAAACAGGAUUAGAUACCCCGGUAGUCC